rnacentral:lncRNA from 1 species
AGAGGCGCAAUGUUGCUGGCCCUGAAGAUGGAGGAAGGGCUGCUGAGCCAAAUAAGGUAGGUGGCCUCCGGAAGAUGGAAAGAGGAUUCACCCCAAGAGCUUCCAGAAAGGAAGGCAACCCUGCCAACACUUUGAUUUUAACCCAGUGAGACCUCAGUAGGACUGCUACAGAAUCCUAAGAUAGUAAAUUGUGUAUGUGAGUGUGUGUGUGUGUGUGUGUGUGCGCGCGCGCGCGCGUUCCUAUGUGUUUAAGCCACUAAAGCCAUGUAAUUUGUUAUGGCAGCGAAUUAAAAAAACUGAUACAAAUCAACAUCACCGUAUUUCCGUAAUACAAUCAUAUAACUGCGGUGCCAGGCCGUGUAGAAUCGAAUCUUCCUAUAUGCAUGCGUGGCAGCAAAAAGAAAGGCAAUAGAACGUCUGCCUGUUGUACAGACUGGAAACACAGUAUUCUCCUUCGGAUGUCUCCUUCAAGAAAAACCUUGCCUAUUCUGACACGCCAGCCAUGACUGCACAACACUGCCCCUACCAAGAAUCGUUUUCUUAAGAAAUCCGUUUUCCUAAGGACUAUCUCCAGAGACACUCGGAGAAAACAGCGAGGGCCGGGCGCGGUGGCUCACGCCUGUAAUCCCAGCACUUUGGGAGGCCGAGGCGUGCGGAUCACGAGGUCAGGAGAUCGUAUCCAUCCUGGUUAACACGGUGAAACCCCGUCUCUACUAAAAAUACAAAAAAAAAAAUUAGCCAGGCGUGGUGGCGGGCGCCUGUAGUCCCAGCUACUCUACUCGGGAGGCUGAGGCUGGAGAAUGGCGUGAACCCGGGAGGCGGAGCUUGCAGUGAGCCGAGAUCGCGCCACUGCACUCCAGCCUGAGCGACAGAGCGAGACUCCGUCUCAAAAAAAAAAAAAAAAAAAAAAAAGAGAGAAAACAGCGAGGAAACACAAAUAACUUUAUGUUUCAAUUUCCUCAAUGAAGCAAAGCAAACAAGUGACAAGGCUCGAAGCCCUGACGGCCCAGAGACUGCACAGCGGGCCCAGGAGCAGGUGCGCCCCCUCGAAGGCGGCGUGGCCUCCGCGACUCGGCUGCGGGCAGCUCCCGGGGAGCAGGGUCUCAACUCCGGCGCUGUCCCACUUCCGUCGGCGCUGAGGGCUCCCACCUCCCUUUCCACCCCCGGCUCUCCAGCCCGGGACUGCCAGCGGCGGGAGUGGCAGCCGGGGAAGGGACUCCCCACUCACCCGCGUCCGCCCGCCGAGCGCAGCUCCCCAAGGCCCAGCGCGCCUGCCCUUCCCGGAAAACAGCAGCGCCUGAAACGCCGGAACCCCGGGAGGCACUGGGAGGGGAAGGCCCGGGUUCUCGAAACUGUCGCUGCCUCCUGCAGAAGCGCCGCGGGAGAGCUGCGGGGUCUUCCUGAGGAGGUGGCCCUCGCAGGAACAGCUGGGUUCCCCGCGAAAAGAAAAAGACAGUGAAAAAGAAAACUGCUUUAACGGCGAUUUUUCUUUAGCAUUUAACCAAUGCUCAAAUACUAAACAUGGUUGUCUCCAAUGAUUAGUCACUAACAGAAAAAAAAACUAAUUUCACUUUCGAUUUUUAAAAAGGGGUGGUUUUGCGGAGGAAAGCAGAAGUAUACCUGAAGUUUCCGUACACACUAAUUUUAGGGAACGCUUUCUAAAACCAGUUUUUUGCAUGUAUUUUAUAAGGUAUGUUGGAAAAGUGGAUAGAAACCAAAUAAAGUCAAAGCAGGAAUCGCUCUUCAUCAGAUUGUAACUCUUUUGUAAUUUCUUAGUCAUUGUAACACUAGUUGACAAAUGUUUACAGUCAGCACAAGAUCGGCGUUUCUGUGUCUUUUGUAACAUCCCCCGGGGCCAUGAAGUUGGGAAAGCUGUGGUGUUCCUGUUGGUUUCUGUGACCCAUGUCCCUUGAAAGUUUUCUUAUAAUCUCUUGUUUUGUUGUGGAGCUUGUAAAUAAAUACUUCACUAGGUGUGAACUUUUCCUUUGAAAAUUCAAACAUCUGGUUUAUUUCAAGAACUGCAGUGUCUCUUAAUCCCACACAAAGAACCACCCCACAGCUGCCCCGGCUCAUAAAUACAGAUGUGG